rnacentral:rRNA from 1 species
AUCGAAAGACCUUGCGCUUAAGGAGCGGCCGAUGUCUGAUUAGCUAGUUGGUGGGGUAAAGGCCUACCAAGGCGACGAUCAGUAGUUGGUCUGAGAGGACGACCAACCACACUGGGACUGAGACACGGCCCAGACUCCUACGGGAGGCAGCAGUGGGGAAUUUUGGACAAUGGGCGCAAGCCUGAUCCAGCCAUGCCGCGUGAGUGAAGAAGGCCUUCGGGUUGUAAAGCUCUUUCAGUUGGGAAGAAACGAUUACAACUAAUAAUUGUAAUUAAUGACGGUACCGACAGAAGAAGCACCGGCUAACUACGUGCCAGCAGCCGCGGUAAUACGUAGGGUGCGAGCGUUAAUCGGAAUUACUGGGCGUAAAGGGUGCGCAGGCGGUUUUGUAAGUCAGAUGUGAAAUCCCCGGGCUUAACCUGGGAAUGGCGUUUGAA